rnacentral:rRNA from 1 species
UGGGGAAUUUUGGACAAUGGGGGAAACCCUGAUCGAGCCAUCCCGCGUGUGCGAUGAAGGCCUCCGGGUUGUAAAGCACUUUUGGCAGGAAAGAAACGUCAUGGGUUAAUACCCCGUGAAACUGACGGUACCUGCAGAAUAAGCACCGGCUAACUACGUGCCAGCAGCCGCGGUAAUACGUAGGGUGCAAGCGUUAAUCGGAAUUACUGGGCGUAAAGCGUGCGCAGGCGGUUCGGAAAGAAAGAUGUGAAAUCCCAGAGCUCAACUUUGGAACUGCAUUUUUAACUACCGGGCUAGAGUGUGUCAGAGGGAGGUGGAAUUCCGCGUGGAGCAGUGAAAUGCGUAGAUAUGCGUAGGAACACCGAUGGCGAAGGCAGCCUCCUGGGAUAACACUGACGCUCAUGCACGAAAGCGUGGGGAGCAAACAGG